CUAGCCUAACUGAAAUCACAAAAUCACAAAAUGUGCUUAUUGUGAUAACGUAAGGGAAAAAAAUGAUAUUACCUUACUAUAAGUGUUGUCUAAAUAACUGGUGCCAGAAGACUCGGUAACACCAGAAACGCGAACGUUAGUCGUCUUAAACAGGCGUAAAGGGUAAGUAGGCUGCUUUAAAUUCUAUUUUUUUUAUAAGCUAAUUAAUAAUAUUCCUCGCUUCGCGACUCGCUUUCUCUCCCCCUUUUUUAUCUUUUUUAUAUAAGAUAAAAGGGGGGGGGGGGGAACCUAUAAAGAAAUGCCUAAGGCAGGGCCAGAUCUAUAAUUAAUAAAAUUUUCAGCCCCUCCCACCCGCUUUUUUUGUUAAGAAAAAGGAGAGGGGUCAGUCUGACCCCAAGGGUCAGAGGGGUACCUAAAAUUAUAUUUAAGGCUAAGUUAAAUGAAAAUAGGAAAUUAUUAAUAGACGCAGAACUAAUAAUAAUUAAAUAUUAAUGAGGACAAAGAUAGAUACAUUUAAAGCUAGAAUCCCAUUUGAGAUAUACCAAAUAAUACUUAUGUGUAAGGGGCGAUAUCUGUAAAUAUCUAAGUAGCAUACUAACGGUGAAAACUUCUUAUCUGGUAAUGAUUGACGCUGAGGUACGAAAGUGAGUACAGCGAAUAGGAUUAGAUACCCAGUUACCUCUCACCGUCAACGAUGUAUGGUAGUUGUUAGUUUAAUUAAUUAGUGACGAUGUUAACGCGAUAACCAUUCCGCCUUGAGAGUACGGUUGCAAAACUGAAACCAAAAAAAUUAGUCGGUUCUCGGAGCAAA
rnacentral:rRNA from 1 species